UACGAAGGGGGCUAGCGUUGCUCGGAAUCACUGGGCGUAAAGGGUGCGUAGGCGGGCUUUUAAGUCAGGGGUGAAAUCCUGGAGCUCAACUCCAGAACUGCCUUUGAUACUGAAGAUCUUGAGUCCGGGAGAGGUGAGUGGAACUGCGAGUGUAGAGGUGAAAUUCGUAGAUAUUCGCAAGAACACCAGUGGCGAAGGCGGCGCACUGGCUCAUAUCUGACGCUCAGGCGCGACAGCGUGGGGAUCAAACAGG
rnacentral:rRNA from 1 species